GACGAACGCUGGCGGCGUGCUUAGCACAUGCAAGUCGUACGGUAAGGCCCUUUCGGGGGUACACGAGUGGCGAACGGGUGAGUAACACGUGAGUAACCUGCCCACAACUUUGGGAUAACGCUAGGAAACUGGUGCUAAUACUGGAUAUGUGCUCCUGCUGCAUGGUGGGGGUUGGAAAGCUCCGGCGGUUGUGGAUGGACUCGCGGCCUAUCAGCUUGUUGGUGGGGUAGUGGCCUACCAAGGCGGCGACGGGUAGCCGGCCUGAGAGGGUGACCGGCCACAUUGGGACUGAGAUACGGCCCAGACUCCUACGGGAGGCAGCAGUGGGGAAUAUUGCACAAGGGGCGCCAGCCUGAUGCAGCAACGCCGCGUGCGGGAUGACGGCCUUCGGGUUGGAAACCGCUUUCAGCAGGGACGAAGCUUUUUGUGACGGUACCUGCAGAAGAAGCACCGGCUAACUACGUG
rnacentral:rRNA from 1 species